rnacentral:tRNA from 1 species
AGCCCAGGGCACCCUUCGUGGUGCUUCCCUACAUUUGCACUAUAG